CCUGGGAACUGCGUUNUGAACUGGGUAGCUAGAGUAUGUCAGAGGGGGGUAGAAUNCCACGUGUAGCAGUGAAAUGCGUAGAGAUGUGGAGGAAUACCGAUGGCGAAGGCAGCCCCCCGGGAUAAUACUGACGUUCAUGCCCGAAAGCGUGGGUAGCAAACAGGAUUAGAUACCCUGGUAGUCCACGCCNUAAACGAUGUCGAUUAGCUGUUGGGCAACUUGAUUGCUUAGUAGCGAAGCUAACGCGUGAAAUCGACCGCCUGGGGAGUACGGUCGCAAGAUUAAAACUCAAAGGAAUUGACGGGGACCCGCACAAGCGGUGGAUGAUGUGGAUUAAUUCGAUGCAACGCGAAGAGCCUUACCUGGUCUUGACAUGUACGGAACCUUCCAGAGACGGAAGGGUGCCUUCGGGAGCCGUAACACAGGUGCUGCAUGGCUGUCGUCAGCUCGUGUCGUGAGAUGUUGGGUUAAGUCCCGCAACGAGCGCAACCCUUGUCAUUAGUUGCCAUCAUUAAGUUGGGCACUCUAAUGAGACUGCCGGUGACAAACCGGAGGAAGGUGGGGAUGACGUCAAGUCCUCAUGGCCCUUAUGACCAGGGCUUCACACGUCAUACAAUGGUCGGUACAGAGGGUAGCCAAGCCGCGAGGUGGAGCCAAUCCCAGAAAACCGAUCGUAGUCCGGAUUGCACUCUGCAACUCGAGUGCAUGAAGUCGGAAUCGCUAGUAAUCGCAGGUCAGCAUACUGCGGUGAAUACGUUCCCG
rnacentral:rRNA from 1 species